rnacentral:lncRNA from 1 species
GGUGUUUAUAUACUGCCCAUCCCACAUGUUCCUGCCUCGCUGCAUCACCGCCUCGCUGCUUCACUGCAUCACUGCAUCACUCCAUCACUGCAUCACGCAUAGCUGUGAGGACAGGACCAUAGUGACUGUUUGAUUGGCAUUCUAGAGCUCCCACAGGAAGAGAUCAUGCGCCUGCCUCUAGUGUUUCUUCUCCUGGCACUGGUCACGCUACCCGACACAGAGGGAUGGUUGCGCGCGAACCGAAGACAUCGGAUAUGGAACAGGAUCAAAUGUGCAUUCGUGCGCUGUGAAAGGAGAGUUCAAGGACGUGAUGUCGAUGCAAAUAACGAUGAUGCAAUCGACCAAACUGAAGCAGAAAAUGUUAUUGACGCACGUGCUGUGAAGGAUGUACUUUCUCUUGCGGAUGAUGAUGCUGAUCUGAGACGAGCGGUCGAAGACGAGGAGGAUGUCGAGAGUCACGUCAACCAGUAGUGUUGUCAUGGCAGCAUGUCCUGGAUAAAUAAACUUGCAAACUGU